rnacentral:rRNA from 1 species
AGGGCACCACCAGGAGUGGAGCCUGCGGCUUAAUUUGACUCAACACGGGAAAACUCACCCGGCCCGGACACUGUAAGGAUUGACAGAUCGAGAGCUCUUUCUUGAUUCGGUGGUUGGUGGUGCAUGGCCGUUCUUAGUUGGUGGAGCGAUUUGUCUGGUUUAUUCCGAUAACGAACGAGACUCCGGCCUACUAAAUAGUGACUGGAUCCCUGGUCCAGUGCACUUCUUAGAGGGACAAGCGGCGUUCAGCCGCAUGAAAUGGAGCAAUAACAGGUCUGUGAUGCCCUUAGAUGUCCGGGGCUGCACGCGCGCUACACUGGAGGAGGCAGCGUGCCUUUACCAUUGCCGAAAGGUAUUGGUAAACCGAUGAAAAUCCUCCGUGAUCGGGAUCGGGAAUUGCAAUUAUUUCCCUCGAACGAGGAAUUCCCAGUAAGUGUGGGUCAUCAGCUCGCGCUGAUUACGUCCCUGCCCUUUGUACACACCGCCCGUCGCUGCCCGGGACUGAGCCGUUUCGAGAAA